rnacentral:rRNA from 1 species
UGCGCCUUGCCAGCCCGCUCAGAAACUCAAAGGAAUUGACGGGGGCCCGCACAAGCGGUGGAGCAUGUGGUUUAAUUCGAUGGUACGCGAGGAACCUUACCAGGGCUUGACAUACGUUGGAAUGGGCGGGAGACCGUCCAGCCUUUCGGGGCCGGCGUACAGGUGCUGCAUGGUUGUCGUCAGCUCGUGCCGUGAGGUGUCGGGUUAAGUCCCAUAACGAGCGCAACCCCUAUCAUUAGUUGCCAUCAGGUCAAGCUGGGGACUCUAAUGAAACUGCCUACGCAAGUAGUGAGGAAGGUGGGGAUGACGUCAAAUCAGCACGGCCCUUACGUCCAGGGCUACACACGUGCUACAAUGGCCGGUACAAAGGGCAGCUACCUGGUGACAGGAUGCUAAUCUCAAAAGCCGGUCUCAGUUCGGAUCGGAGUCUGCAACCCGACUCCGUGAAGUUGGAUUCGCUAGUAAUCGCGCAUCAGCCAUGGCGCGGUGAAUACGUUCCCGGGCCUU